CGAGUGAACCGGGAAGAGCUCAAAUUUGAAAUCUGGCGUCCUUCGGGCGUCCGAGUUGUAAUCUAUAGAGAUGUUUUCCGUGCCGGACCGUGUCCAAGUCCCUUGGAACAGGGUAUCAAAGAGGGUGACAAUCCCGUACUUGACACGAUGACCGGUGCUCUGUGAUACGUCUUCUACGAGUCGAGUUGUUUGGGAAUGCAGCUCAAAACGGGUGGUGAGUUCCAUCUAAAGCUAAAUAUUGGCGAGAGACCGAUAGCGAACAAGUACCGUGAGGGAAAGAUGAAAAGCACUUUGGAAAGAGAGUUAAACAGUACGUGAAAUUGUUGAAAGGGAAACGAUUGAAGUCAGUCGUGUCCGGGGGGUUCAGCCUGCUUCUGCUGGUGUAUUCCCCUUGGAUGGGUCAACAUCAGUUUGGUCCGGCGGAUAAGGGUGAUGGGAAUGUAGCACCUCUUGGGGUGUGUUAUAGCCCGUUACCGCAUACGCUGGUCCAGACUGAGGACUGCAGCUCGCCUUUAUGGCAGGGGUUCGCCCACUUCCGAGCUUAGG
rnacentral:rRNA from 1 species